AUGGGGGAUGCCAAAAACGACGCAGUGGUGUUUCGGAACCUGACAGCGGCGCUUCAGAACCUGACGGUGGCACCGCCGCGAAAAGUUACAAAAAUACUAGUAGAACAGAAGCAAAGCAACCGUAUAGACAGUAAAGAUACAACAACAAAAAUUCGAGCAACACUAAGCAGCAGUUUUGGGCAGCAUAGGACAACAUGGUUUUGGACUGAUUUUGGGCAGAUUUGCAGUAAGAAAGUAGCAGAAUUUUGGCAGCAUUUGGGACUGUCAUAG